rnacentral:misc_RNA from 1 species
CCCUCCCCUAAAUCACUCCAAAAAAAACAAUCCCCAAUUCUACACAAGUGUUUCUACACUAACAAAGCAACAGCUCCUUAACGAAUUCCCAACUUUACACGAGCUCGUCUCUCGAGGUUAAAUGUUAUUACUUGGUAAGAUUCCGGACCUCGCCAAGUGUUUUGAAAACCCGCAACGCUCGCAAAGGUGCAUAGUGAGAAUAAUAAGUGAAGAGACAGACUUGUCCAAAACGCCCACCACGAAGGUGCAUAGUGAGAAGAGUAAGUCAAGAGAUAGACUUGUCCAAAAAGAAACGGAAGAGAAAGCGUGGGGAGACGCUCACGAAGGUGCAUAGUGAGAAGAGUAAGUCAAGAGAUAGACUUGUUCAAAAAGAAACAGAAGAGAAUGCUUGGGGUUACACUCACGAAGGUGCAUAGUGAGAAGAGUAAGUCAAGAGACAGACUUGUUCGAAAAGAAACAAAAGAGAAUGCUUGGGGAGAUAGAAGUGUGAGAUAGUUCUCAAGCUAAGAAAGUUGUAAAAGCUAAGAACUAGCAAGUAAUCGUCCAGGAUUCCUCCACCAGGACUUGAAAUCGUCGAGGGAAAAAAAUCGGUUCCGAGGAAUCGUCGAUCCGGACUUGGAAUCGUCGAGAAAAGUUUACCGGGUCCGAGGAUUUGUCGACCAGGAGUGGAAAUCGUCGAGAAAAAUCUAUCGGGUCCGAGGAAUCGUCGACCAGGACGAGGAAUCGUCGACCGGGUCCGAGGAUUUGUCGACCAGGGGUUGAAAUCGUCGACCAGGUCCGAGACUUCAUCGACCGGGUCCGAGGAUUCGUCGAC